GGGCCCGCGUGGCUCAGCGGCAGAGUUGCGUGGAGGGUUCACUACCCUUGUAGUAGAACCGCGGGUUCGAUUCCCGCCGGGCCCA